rnacentral:tRNA from 1 species
GCCUGGGUGGCUCAGUUGGUUGAGUGUCUGACUUCAGUUCAGGUCAUAAUCUCACAAUUUGUGGGUUGGAGACCCACAUAGGGCU